ensembl:lncRNA
GUUCCAGGGUUUGGUCUUUGGUUCUAGUGUUUCAUAAAGGGUUGCGGUUUCCUAUUUGGGUUAGGUUUCAGGGUUUGGUCUUUGGUUCUAGUGUUUGAUAAAUGGUUACGGUUGCCUACUUGGGUUAGGUUUCAGGGUUUGAUCUUUGGUUCUAGUGUUUAAGGGUUACGGUUUCCUAUUUGGGUUAGGUUUCAGGGUUUGAUCUUUGGUUCUAGUGUUUGAUAAAGGGUUAUGGUUUCCUACUUGGAUUAGGUUUCAGGGUUUGAUCUUUGGUUCUAGUGUUUGAUAAAGGGUUAUGAUUUCCUACUUGGGUUAUGUUUCAGGGUUUGGCUGCCGGGUUAGAGUUUUGUUCAAGGGUUGGGCUGGGUUUUUAGGGUUUGGUUUCAUGGUUGGGGAUAUGUUUUAGGGUGAGCAUUUGUUUUUAGUGUUUAGUUUGGGUUUUAGGAUUAGGGUUUGGUGUUGGGUCUAUGUUUAAG